GACGAACCGUACGAACGUUAUUCGGAAUCACUGGGCUUAAAGGGUGCGUAGGCUGCGCAGCAAGUUGGGUGUGAAAUCCCUCGGCUUAACCGAGGAACUGCGCCCAAAACUGCUGUGCUCGAGGGAGAUAGAGGUGAGCGGAACUUAGGGUGGAGCGGUGAAAUGCGUUGAUAUCCUAAGGAACACCGGUGGCGAAAGCGGCUCACUGGACACGUAUUGACGCUGAGGUGCGAAAGCGUGGGGAGCAAACAGG
rnacentral:rRNA from 1 species